rnacentral:rRNA from 1 species
UUAUCUCUGUAGAGUCUGCAUAUCAAUAAGCGGAGGAAAAGAAACUAACAAGGAUUCCCCUAGUAACGGCGAGUGAAGCGGGAAGAGCUCAAAUUUGAAAUCUUAAAGGGUUUCCCUUUACGAAUUGUAGUUUAAAGAAGUGUUCUCUGUUGAAGUUUUGGUAAAAGUUCUUUGGAAUAGGACAUCAUAGAGGGUGAGAAUCCCGUAUUUGACCGUUACUUUCCAGCUGUGUGAUACACUUUCAAAGAGUCGGAUUGUUUGGGAAUGCAGUCCAAAAUGGGUGGUAAAUUUCAUCUAAAGCUAAAUAUUGGCGAGAGACCGAUAGCGAACAAGUACCGUGAGGGAAAGAUGAAAAGAACUUUGAAAAGAGAGUUAAACAGUACGUGAAAUUGUCAAAAGGGAAGCGUUUGACACCAGUGUUGUUUUCUCGAAAAUCAAUUAAAAAUGGCUGGGAUUUUGUGUUGUAUUGACUUUAUCAGCUUUCUGCACUUUUUUCCUAUCUUUUUUAAUGCACUUUUCGUUUAACAAGUCAACAUCAAGUUUCUUUUGUUGUAAAAGGGUCAUUGGAAGGUGGCUUUCUUUUCGGAGAAAGUGUUUAUAGCCUUUGAUCUCUGCAAUCGGAGAGAUUGAGGUCUGCAGCGUAGAUCCUUCGGGGUUAGAUACAUUUGUGCUAAGUUAUAGCUUUUUAUAGACAACUUGUUGACUAUAUUUAGUCUUGUGGCUUACUCGCUUAUGCUAUUUUACCUACGCUUAGGAUGUUGA